UGCCCGAUGGCCUUCCCUUGUUUUGUCGCCGGACCAACCGCUUGGCUUCGCUCGGAGUAGAUUUCGUAUUCUCGAAGCAUCAAUCAGAACACUAUACAUCUUAGUCGUUCUUACUUCCUACCGACACCGGAGUUUCCUUUCUCAGUCGUCGUUCUCGCCUGUGUCGGCGGCGCUCAAGAUGAAGUUAUUGUGAGGUGUGCAACCUCAAUCAUAAUCAAGACAGUCGUCACAAAUACUUUCCCAGUCACGUCAAUUUACUAUCCUCUAUCAUCUCUCGAUUCCAUAAGAAGCUCUCCAACAUCCGCUCAUACCUGAAGAAUCCUGUCCCCCAUGGUUCCGAGAAUCGUGUUUGGUGCGUGUUCUGCAAUUGCGAUAUUGAAGAACUCCCCAGCUUCUUUGCCUUUGGCACUGCAAUUCAUCAUCUGGCGAGUGCGAGUCAUCUGAAGAACACCAAGAGUUUUUUGUGGAAACAUGGUGGUAAGAUGGAUAAGGUGGAUUCAUUGAGGAUUUUGGAAGCAGACGUAGUAAAGUGGGAGAAGAAGUGCAGAUUACUUAAAAGUGAUGGUGCAAAUGAAACGACUCAUGGACCUCUGAAUGAUAUCCACAAUGGAUUCAACUCUAAAUAAUACGGAUGAGAGACAUCAAUUUACAGGCUCAGACUUCUCUUCAGUCAGAGACAAUCAGACUCUGUAUAUGCGCUCACAGUUUGAGACAGUUCCAUGCAAUGCAAACUAUUUAAAAGGUACCAGUAAUACUUAUGCUAGAAAAGAUUCCAUCAGUAUUGGAGGAGGGGUCCAUCUAGACGGAGAAGCGGUAAACAGAGAUUGUAAAUCAAGGCUUGAAUAACCUAACUAAAAUCUCCAUCCCUCUACAACAACAAGAUGGUCAAGGAAAUGUGCACUCAGGAGCACUACCUCCUUGGUUUGAUCAUCUGAAUGUUGGACUAAAAUCUGAAAGCCGGUCAAGUGGUUCUCUUUCGAAGCAAGGAGGGAAAAGCAAAUUGAACCCAAAUCGAGUGGGAGCUGCUUGGGCAGAGCAACGAAAAAUCGAGAUGGAAAUGGAGAAAAGGGGAGAGAUUGUUUCCAGAGAUGUGUAUCCAAACUGGCUUCCAAAUUUUGGAAGUGUUUGGCAAUCAGGUACUCGGAAGAAAUCUAGAAAAGAAUUUGAGUCUGAAGAGAAGAAAAAAUCAACUAAUUAUAAAGUUGGUGAUUCUGAAUCUGAAGCGUCGAUUAAGAUUCAGCCAUAUGUUGGUAAAAGAAUGGUAAGCUCAAAUUAUGAAUUGUUUGAAUGAUUGUCGUAACCAAAAGGUGGGCUUUUUUGGGUAAAAUGACUAAAAAAAUAUCUUUAUUAUUUAAUAUUUCAUGAAACAAGGCCUUAAA